AUGGAGCGGGGCUCCCUAAGGACAAGGAGCACAGUGUCUGCUUUCUUUGCAAGCACAGUGCUGACAAGGAACAGAAUACCCACAGCGACUGCUUCCAGGAAACGGCUGCAGGGCGGGCGGGAGCCUCUGCGAGAGCAGCCCCUUCCCAGCAAGCCGGCCUGCAGAGUUGGGAUUUUCUGUCUCCAUUCGGUGGUAUACCAAGUGCCUGCCUCCCACACCCAGCUGCCCCUAAUCCCUGCCUGAAAACGUGCUCCUGGGUCACGGAAUUCAUGCUGAGACACAGCCACACACAGCCAGGCUCAGGGGUCCACCCUCCAGGGAACACCACCCCGCUACAGGGCCACGAUCACACACACACCCCGCGGAGCAUCUCCGGGCCGGACAGGACCCACGCCCUCCACAGCCCGGAAAGGCGGGUUAACUGGUCAGCAUGCAGAGACCCACCAAGUGGAGACCCCGCUCCCAGGCACAGACGCACAGCUGUGGAUGCACGUCCUCGGUGACAAGCUCCCAGGUGGAAACUCCAGAGCAAGCGUGUCAUUCAUACACCCCGGGCCCAGAGAUGUGGACGUGUCCAGCACGCCUGUUCUCUCCAAGUGACCAGGAGGAGACAAUCCCUAGGAGCUGACACAGGUGACGAAGGCCCGAGGUGGCCCGCCUUUUCCCCCGGCCCCAUUCCCAUGUGUCCUUCCCCAGGCAGGGAUUUGAAGUGGGCAGAGUCUUCCAUGUUCUCCAGGAGAGGUUUUCUGGGUGCCCCUCUCCCCCUCCCUACGGUUCCCCUGCCCCGCCACCCUGGGCACCCCUGGGGCUGCCUGCCGCACCCUGCAGCCGCCACCUGGGGAAGCCGGCUUUUAUCUCCUGAGCCCUGCUUUGUAAACCUCCUGCAGAGUUGGAUGUUUAUAAUAAAGGCCGUUUAUAGACCU
ensembl:lncRNA LINC01219 long intergenic non-protein coding RNA 1219